CAAGCAAGCCAAGGACCAUAUGUUUUUUUGUGUUACACUUUCAGCAUCUAAGCUUAUUAUAUUCAACACAAGGAGAAAAGUCCCCGGAAAACAAAAUAUCUUCUGUCCAAUGAUUAAAGAUUAGGGCAGUGGGGUAUUUAGUAAAGCAACUUUGUUUGUUUGUUUUUUUCAUAAUAAAAGUAUAUGGUCACCCUAUAAUAAUGGGGCAACUUAAUGGGGCUUACUCUGGCUUGUUU
rnacentral:RNase_MRP_RNA from 2 species